rnacentral:tRNA from 1 species
GCCAUCUUAGCUCAGUUGGUAGAGCAACUGAUUCGUAAUCAGUAGGUCGGCGGUUCGAUUCCGCCAGAUGGCUCCA